GACGAACGCUGGCGGCGUGCCUAACACAUGCAAGUCAACUUGACUGAAGGAGCAAUCUGACAGUAGAGUGGCGCAAGGGUGCGUAACGCGUAAGUAACUUGCCCCAAGGUAAGGAAUAACGUCGAGAAAUCGGCGCUAAUACCUCAUAAUGCAGCGGAUCCGCAUGGAUAUGUUGUUAAAGGUUUACCGCCUUGGGAUAGGCUUGCGUCUGAUUAGCUAGUUGGUGUGGUAACGGCACACCAAGGCUACGAUCAGUAACUGGUCUGAGAGGAUGAUCAGUCACACUGGAACUGAGACACGGUCCAGACUCCUACGGAGGCAGCAGUGAGGAUAUUGGGCAAUGCUCGAAAGAGUGACCCAGCAACG
rnacentral:rRNA from 1 species